ACCCGCUGAACUUAAGCAUAUCAAUAAGCGGAGGAAAAGAAACCAACAGGGACUGCCCUAGUAACGGCGAGUGAAGCGGCAACAGCUCAAAUUUGAAAUCUGGCUCUUUUAGGGUCCGAGUUGUAAUUUGCAGAGGGCGCUUUGGCAUUGGCAGCGGUCCAAGUUCUUUGGAACAGGACGUCACAGAGGGUGAGAAUCCCGUACGUGGUCGCUAGCCUUUGCCGUGUAAAGCCCCUUCGACGAGUCGAGUUGUUUGGGAAUGCAGCUCUAAAUGGGAGGUAAAUUUCUUCUAAAGCUAAAUACUGGCCAGAGACCGAUAGCGCACAAGUAGAGUGAUCGAAAGAUGAAAAGCACUUUGGAAAGAGAAUCAAAUAGCACGUGAAAUUGUUGAAAGGGAAGCGCUUGCAGCCAGACUUGCCUGUAGUUGCUUAUCUGGACUUUUGUCCGGUGCACUCUUCUGCGGGCAGGCCAGCAUCAGUUUGGGCGGUUGGAUAAAGGUCUCUGUCAUGUACCUCUCUUCGGGGAGGCCUUAUAGGGGAGACGACAUGCAACCAGCCUGGACUGAGGUCCGCGCAUCUGCUAGGAUGCUGGCGUAAUGGCUGU
rnacentral:rRNA from 1 species